rnacentral:misc_RNA from 1 species
UCCCGCUUACGCGGGCAGUUUCUUUAGAGUUCCCGGCAUUACCCGCUGGCAACUAAAGAUAAGGGUUGCGCUCGUUAAGGGACUUAACCCGACACCUCACGGCACGAGCUGACGACAGCCAUGCAGCACCUCGCAAAUUGUCCGAAGAAGGACUGAUUUCCCAGCCUGUCAACUUGCGUUCGAGCCCUGGUAAGGUUCCUCGCGUACCAUCGAAUUAAACCACAUGCUCCACCGCUUGUGCGGGCCCCCGUCAAUUCCUUUGAGUUUCACCCUUGCGGGCGUACUUCCCAGGUGGAUCACUUAAUGCUUUUGCUUAGACGCUGGCAGUGUAUCGCCAACAUCGAGUGAUCAUCGUUUACAGUGUGGACUAC